AGACUCGUAUUGCGAAGCGUGGGAGGAAGCUUGUUGACUAUGACAGUGCAAGACAUCAUUAUGAAUCUCUCCAAGGUGCAAAAAAGAAAGAUGAUGUAAAAAUAGCAAAGGCAGAAGAAGAAUUUUUAAAAGCUCAGAAAGUGUUUGAGGAAAUUAAUGUUGACUUGCAGGAAGAAUUGCCAUCACUAUGGAACAGUCGUGUUGGUUUUUAUGUGAACACAUUCCAAAGUAUAGCUGGUCUGGCAGAAACGUUUCAUAAAGAAAUGAGCAAGCUGAACCAAAAUCUUGGCUCCGUGAUGAACCAACUGGAGAUUCAAUACGUGGACAGGUUUGUCUAGUCAAGGGUG